ensembl:lncRNA
GGUUUGCAUUAUAACGAUCGUAAUCAUGUGAUCUGUCAGGAGCUGUGUGAACUGUCACCUGUCUAACGGACUCGGAUCAGACGCGUACCAGCUUUGUAAUCGCAGCUGCGCAGCUUCAUCGGUGGAGUAUGUGGACGACAUCACAGGUACAUACAGCACCAAACAUUAAACAUGGUCCCAGACAGAAACACUAAAGCCGUCCUGUGAUCUCUGAGCCGUUCUAAAUGGCCUGUUGUGCGUCUGAAUGAACUGUGCUGUUGUUCAGAGCUGGUCCGGGGGAAAUACUGCCUGUAUCCCAGCAGUGAGAAGUGUCAGCACCGCUUUCUCAUGGACUUGGCUUCAGAACGACCUCAGCUGCACAUUAGUCGGCAUCCUGUGUGUGUCUGGAGUCGGCGGUACUUUAAGACGUUCCUCAGCGCCUUCCUUCUGACCGUCACGCUGGGAAUCGGCAUGCUGGCCGCCGUCAGACAGCUGCUGAGAGCCAGAAACUGCUCGUGGCAGUCCAACCCUGAGCAACAGUUUGAGCGCAGCCCUAAGGACUCGUCAUACAUCCCCACGACCAACGAGAAGACGAUCCCGUACAGGAGCGACGGUCUCCCGAAUCAGCCGGUGGAGAUGCACUCACACAUGCCCAAGAUGCCCCUGAGCCACGCCUGGCAGUGAUGAGGGUCAAAGGUCGCUCUAGAAACGAAGCACUACCUGAAUGAAAGCAAUCUUUCUCUUUAAGCACUUACUUCACAAGAGCAAUAGCCUGUGUGGGUUUUCUGAGGCUGUUUUUCAUUCCUUUUCAUUCUGUUUCUAAUUUAUGAUGUUGAAUGGCAUUCAAUCUGGUCCUGAAGCCACACAGAAAGAGACGGUGCGGUUAAACCCGUACUGAUGUGGUUUAGCAGGCCAGUUUUCUGCUGAGGUACUGUUUGUCUGUGUCUGUGAGCGGAUGUUAGAGUGUGUUUGUGAUAUUUUUACUUGUCGUACAAAACACUACAGACUCUGGCUAUGUUCAGAAUAGCAUACUGUGCAUACUAUUUCUUCAGUAUACAUGCAAAAAAUACACCGAUGACGGCAAAGAGCACUGUCCCACAAUGCAAUGGGCUUGAUGCUUCCAGUACAAUGAUGCAACAUUUGGAAUUAAUAAUUGUAUUAUCAAUUAUUUAUAUUAUCAAUAAUUAAAUCCAAUUAUUGGGCCACAA